GAUGAACGCUGGCGGCGUGCCUAAUACAUGCAAGUCGAGCGAACGGACGAGAAGCUUGCGUCUCUGAUGUUAGCGGCGGACGGGUGAGUAACACGUGGAUAACCUACCUAUAAGACUGGGAUAACUUCGGGAAACCGGAGCUAAUACCGGAUAAUAUUUUGAACCGCAUGGUUCAAAAGUGAAAGACGGUCUUGCUGUCACUUAUAGAUGGAUCCGCGCUGCAUUAGCUAGUUGGUAAGGUAACGGCUUACCAAGGCAACGAUGCAUAGCCGACCUGAGAGAGUGAUCGGCCACACUGGAACUGAGACACGGUCCAGACUCCUACGGGAGGCAGCAGUAGGGAAUCUUCCGCAAUGGGCGAAAGCCUGACGGAGCAACGCCGCGUGAGUGAUGAAGGUCUUCGGAUCGUAAAACUCUGUUAUUAGGGAAGAACAUAUGUGUAAGUAACUGUGCACAUCUUGACGGUACCUAAUCAGAAAGCAACGGCUAACUACGUG
rnacentral:rRNA from 1 species